AAAACUGGACUCUUCAGAGGGAUUAGUGAUUGGUUUGAUUGCGACAUAUGCAAAACUGACCGGAGAAGCCCUCCUUGUUAAAAACGAGAAGACUCGCUUUAUUUAGUGGCUGCUGCAUGAAGAGGAGACACGUAGGGAGUGAACAGCACUGCUGGACACACGCUGCCACACUGCUGUUGAUAGAACAGAUCCGGAUUAACAAGGAGCAGUUACACAAACCUGGCCAGAAGAAACGUGUCUGGGACAGAAUUGCAUUAAAUAUUCAGGCGGUUGGAUACAGUUUUAUAAGUUCAGUAGUAUGUGACAAAUGGUAAAAUUUAAAAAGAACUUACAAAACUGUAUCUGACAACAAUAAUAAAACCGGGACAGGAAAAAAAAAAAAUUGUAUAUAUGAAACAGAAUUUGUUAAUAAAAUU